UACAGAGGUCCCAAGCGUUGUUCGGAUUCAUUGGGCGUAAAGGGUGCGUAGGCGGCGCGGUAAGUCGGGUGUGAAAUCUCGGAGCUUAACUCCGAAACUGCAUUCGAUACUGCCGUGCUUGAGGACUGGAGAGGAGACUGGAAUUUACGGUGUAGCGGUGAAAUGCGUAGAUAUCGUGAGGAAGACCAGUGGCGAAGGCGGGUCUCUGGACAGUUCCUGACACUGAGGCACGAAGGCCAGGGGAGCAAACGGG
rnacentral:rRNA from 1 species